AUGGAGAAGCAGGAGAGAGGACCCAUGAAGUCCAGUGACUAUCUCCCCCCACCCACCAACUUGCAAUACCGCUUUAAAAGGGGGGAGGAGUCACAGUCUGUGGCUGGAACUGCAAAUGAGAAGGCCACACGCAUCUUCCAAGGCACCGCUCAGCUGAAGCUUGGACCUCCUGGAUGCCAGGCGUGCAAGGUCUGUUCUCACCUCGAGCAGGGUUUGAGCAAAUGGAUCUUUCUGUGCUGGCUUCCUGCCAGAUCCUUUUCCACCUCUUUAUUCCUCGUUCUCUGUCGUCCUUGCCUAAGAAACCACCAUCUGGCCACAGAGCCGCCUAAGGAAGGGAUUGGUGCAUCGAGACGGCUGUCACGAGCAUCCUAUCAGCCCGCCUUCAAGGAGAAUCAUCUCAAGGGGCGCCCGGUGAGCUCGGUGAAACGACUGAAUCUUGAUCUCCGCGUUGUGCGUUCCAGCCCCACGUGGGGUAUAGAGAUUACUUAA
rnacentral:lncRNA from 1 species